UGACAACUGUUUGACUUCAACCUGAAUAUCAGAACGAACACAACUCAAAGCUCUCUCAGCUGAUUCAGAUGAACAUCACAUCCACACUUGGAAACAUGAAGAAACUGGCUUUGAUGUGCUUCUUCUCAGCUCUCAUAUGUGACAGUCUGGAGGAUGGAAUCACUGCCAGCAGAGCUGAAGUCUUUUCAUCAGAGGAGCUCACAGUUACUCUGUCCUGUAAUUAUUCAGUCACAGCUAACAAUCUGCAGUGGUAUAGACAGGAUCCAGGAUCAGCUCCUCGAUUCCUCCUCCUGAUCACUGACACCAAAGAACCCAGUGUGGUGGAAGCAAAACCUCCAAACCCCAGACUGACUGCUGUCCUGAACCAGGAGAGGAACCAGGUCCAUCUGCAGAUCUCCUCUGCUGCAGUGACAGACUCUGCUGUGUACUACUGUGCUCUGCAGCCCACAGUGACAGGAAACAACACAACUCUGUACAAAAACCUGCAGAGAAAACACAAUACUGCACAACAUCCACUAGAGGGCGUCCCACACUGGGAAAGCACUGAUUGUUGAGACACUGGAUAAAUGACAAAGACUACAGAAAAAUUAAGCAGCAAAGAUCAGAGACAGAGCUGCUGUGGAAGAACUAAACUCUUUGAUUGGUUGAGCUGAAAAAGAGCUCAUUGGCCCCGCCCACUGAACUUCACAUCAUCCAGUGACAUUAUUUCUUCUUCAUUGUGCUGCAGUGGAAGAACAGAGUUCAUCUGCAGUCUGUGUGGCUUCCAGAACUCCAAAAACAUGUUGCUUUAACUAUUUUUGUUUCUAUCUCACAUUCUAGGUGAGUUUAAGAACAGAGAUUCAAGUUUUCUUGAAGCUGCUGCAUCAACUCAUCAUCUCUUUCAUCUAAUGUAAUGCAGGGGUGUCAAACUCAUUUUGGUUCAGGGGCCACAUUAAACCCGUCUGAUCCAAAGUGACCAGUAACAUAACAGCAAAAAACAGCUUUGUUCUUUUUUGUUUUUUUAUUGAGUUGGGAAAAAUGCCUCAAUCAACAUGAUAGCCUAAUCACUUAGUAUUACCCAUUCAUUCACAGAGGCCAUUGGAUUUUAAAUAAAAUGCAUUUCACUUCAAAAAAAUUGGUUUAUUCAAUUUUAUAACUACUGAAUAUUAUACAAUUGACAAUGAAGCAAUCCUGAUAGUAAACUCAAGAGGGGUUACGAAAAAUGAA